UUUAUGAGCUUCAGUCAAGCUCUUGCUCUGCCUCGCUGGAGGUACAUGUUCACCAAAGUGAUACAUGCUAGUGUCGAACGCCACUGCCCUAUCUUCAUCCAUCCCAUCCGAAGCGGCUUCUUCAAGAAGAUCGUCCUCAUCCAAUGGCGGAGCGUUCUCAUAGUAGAGGCGUCCAACCUCAGGCCUAAAAUCAAUGUUAUCUCCCUCUAUUAUCCUUGUAACCUCAGGGCUAGGGAGAAGGAUGUUAGCUCUCCUGUCUGUAGAGUGCUCAAACCUGAACCUGUGGAAAUCGUCAACCAUUGCAAACUCCAGGAAUUCGCAGUGACGUAGGUGCUCGAUAUCCAUUGCUCGUGGCUCGAGUCCAGCAGAAAGGAUUGGGACUCCACAAGCUAUCAAAAUCGGUGUCACAACGCCACCUAUGCACAGAGCGCCUCGUGCUCUCUUGCGAUUAUUGCUGAUAGCCCAGCUCUUGUAUCCACACAGAUGGAUCAGAAGAAGUAUAGAGAGAGGUGAGUCAUUGAUUUCACCCUGGAGGGACAUGCCAUUCUUAGUUUGGCGGAGAGUUCCCUUGAGGGCCAUUGCGAUCAUUUCCAUAUCAGAGUUAGUGACAGUCCCUGUAAUCUCUCGGGAGUAGAGUACAUUGGCUAUAGAACGCUGGAAGUACCUGAUGACAGGGUUGCGUAUCUGAUUGCUCUUUGACCUGGAAGUAUUCAACGGUACAAAGCUGCCAAUGGUGAUCCACAAUUCUUUCAACUCUUCUCUUUCAUACUUGGGCUUAGAUCCCGUUCCACUGGGGAAGCCAAACAAUCCUUCCAAGCGCUUGAUUGAUAACCUAUACUCAUGACCAUACACAGAAAAUCGCAAGAAUCCCAAUCCUUCACAAUCCAACUCAUCAGAGGUCAUACCUUGGUAGAGCUGUACUCGCAGCGUGGAGAGGAAUUGUAUUGUCUCAUCUUCAUACGCUACAUACGGAUAAGCCAUCAGAGUGUCCAGAUGACAACUUUGGUACAGGUGCUGAACAUCUUCCAACAAUCCGAGUUGUGCAAGUGAGGUCGAGCACGGAUACCUCGUGCUACAGAACUCAUUCAGCUUGAAAAGCCUAACAUAUUCCUCAGCAGGCAAUACGUCGGGCUUGUGCAGAAGUUUGGUAGCUCUGCGAGUCUGUUCAGGCAUGUACUCGUCUUCCAGAUCUUCGUCUAUAAGCUCAUACCUCUCUGUCAUAGCUCUCUUCCCUCGGGCUAUCUCAGCUUUCCUUCUGAAGCUUUCAUAUUCUCUCUGUUAUCUCUCUGGCCUUGAAGAUGACGACUCUGUCUCAUCCAUGUUGUAGUCAGGAUCAACAGAAGAACUGCCACUGUAAUUGCUCAUGAUUCUCCUGUAGAGAUUUAGAACUCAAAGCUCAAAUGUCAAUAGGUUAGUCUCAAAGAUAGCAAUGAAACCAAAAUUAUUGUCAAUAGGCAAUGAAAUAGAUUGAAUUGGUCGAGUACAAUUCUGUACUCGAGUAACCUGAGCUGUUCCUGAGCUUAGACGAAUUGGAUCGAGUAUCUUCUCAGAGGUCGAGUUGUAAUGCUACAGCAGGUCGAGUGAAUCGUGGAGGUCGAGUGAGUCGUGAAACCUAGAGGUCGAGUAACUUCUCUGAAGUUGGAAGGCUCUACUGAAUUGAUGAACAAGAAGCCGAGUAGAUUUUGCAGGGGUCGAGUGCUUUCUGGUGGUCGAGUGAGUUGUUGAAGUCGGCUAGGGCGACGUCGGUCGAAUGCCGCUAUGAGACCGGGAAACGAGGUCGAGUAGCUUCUUUUGAAAGAGACGGCGGUUGAUGUGGAUGAAUUGGUCGAGUAUAUCAAAGGAAUCGAAGGAAGUGGUCUGGUCGGGUGACGGAGGGAAUGAGCUAGUGACGGCGGCGCGGAGGUCGAGUGGGUUUCAGAGGUCGAGUGAAAUUCUCAGGAUCGAGUAGCUCUUUGGACGGCGAUUCGUGGUGUAGAGAGAUUAGAGUGUCGGCGGUGAAAUGAAAAGAGGAAGGUCGAGUGAAUUUCGUGAAGUCGAGUGAUGCUUCAAAAUGAGUGGUCUAGGUUGAGUUUUAGAUUCUCUCUCCAGCUUAUCCUCAACGCGUGGUCCACACUCUGUUGACUGAGAAAAUUUACAGAAAACCUACUGUAAACUGCAGGAAAUUUCUGCAAGUCUCUGUAGCUUCUGUUGGUCGAGUAAAAUGAUGAUUUAAAAGUUUUUGGGUUUUAAACAUCACACAUACUCGACCAAUGUACUCGAGUGCAAGGUCUCCAGGUGCAACAGAAGAUUUUCAAAAUUUUGUACUCCAACGGGCUGUACACUCGAUCUCCACGUCUUCUGUAGAGUAAAAGUUUUGAAUUUUUACUCUAUCUCCACGUUGUUCUCUUGUCUCUGAAAAACCCCAAACACAACUAAAACAAAUAAAAAAUAACAAGAAAGUAAAAAUU
rnacentral:sRNA from 1 species